GCCGAAGUGGUGGAACUGGUAGACACGCUAUCUUGAGGGGGUAGUGGCUUAUGCCUUGGGAGUUCGAGUCUCCCCAUCGGCACCA
rnacentral:tRNA from 1 species